GCCUUCGUGGUGUAGUGGUUCUGCACACUGGGCCAGCAUUCCAGAGGUCCGUGGUUCGAUUCCCGGCGAAGGCG
rnacentral:tRNA from 1 species